AUAUUAAAAAUUGUGGCAGUUAAAAAGCUUGUAGUUGAACUUUUGCUGCCUUGCUUUUUUUCCUUGAUGAGUUUAUGCAUUGGGGCUUAUUUCGGUCAUGGUUUUCCUUGUCCGGAUGUUUACUUUGAGAAAAUUAGAGUGCUCAAAGCAGGCUUUUGCCUUGAAUAGUUUAGCAUGGAAUAAUAAAGUAGGACUUUGGUUUUAUUUUGUUGGUUUUGUGUACCAAAGUAAUGGUUAAUAGGAACAGUUGGGGGCAUUCGUAUUUAACUGUCAAAGGUGAAAUUCUUGGAUUUGUUAAAGACGAACUACUGCGAAAGCAUUUGCCAAGGAUGUUUCCAUUAAUCAAGAACGAAAGUUAGGGGAUCGAAAACAAUCAAAUACCGCCGAAGCCCUAACCAUAAACUAUGCC
rnacentral:rRNA from 1 species